CCUACGGGAGGCAGCAGUGAGGAAUAUUGGUCAAUGGACGAGAGUCUGAACCAGCCAAGUAGCGUGAAGGAUGACUGCCCUAUGGGUUGUAAACUUCUUUUAUAAAGGAAUAAAACGAGGCACGUGUGCCUUUUUGCAUGUACUUUAUGAAUAAGGAUCGGCUAACUCCGUGCCAGCACCCGCGGUAAUACGGAGGUUCCGAGCGUUAUCCGGAUUUAUUGGGUUUAAAGGGAGCGUAGAUGGGUUGUUAAGUCAGUUGUGAAAGUUUGCGGCUCAACCGUAAAAUUGCAAUUGAUACUGGCAGUCUUGAGUACAGUUGAGGUAAGCGGAAUGCGUGGUGUAGCGGUGAAAUGCUUAGAUAUCACGAAGAACCCCGAUGGCGAAGGCAGCUUACUAAACUGUGACUGACAUUGAUGCUCGAAAGUGUGGGGAUCAAACAGGAUUAGAUACCCUUGUAGUC
rnacentral:rRNA from 1 species